UACGUAGGGUGCAAGCGUGGUCCGGAAUUAUUGGGCGUAAAGAGCUUGUAGGCGGUUUGUCGCGUCUGCUGUGAAAUUUCGGGGCUCAACCCCGAACUUGCAGUGGGUACGGGCAGACUAGAGUGUGGUAGGGGAGACUGGAAUUCCUGGUGUAGCGGUGAAAUGCGCAGAUAUCAGGAGGAACACCGAUGGCGAAGGCAGGUCUCUGGGCCAUAACUGACGCUGAGAAGCGAAAGCAUGGGGAGCGAACAGG
rnacentral:rRNA from 1 species